GAUGAACGCUAGCUACAGGCUUAACACAUGCAAGUCGAGGGGCAGCAUGGUCUAGCUUGCUAAGGCCGAUGGCGACCGGCGCACGGGUGAGUAACACGUAUCCAACCUGCCGUCUACUCUUGGACAGCCUUCUGAAAGGAAGAUUAAUACAAGAUGGCAUCAUGAGUCCGCAUGUUCACAUGAUUAAAGGUAUUCCGGUAGACGAUGGGGAUGCGUUCCAUUAGAUAGUAGGCGGGGUAACGGCCCACCUAGUCUUCGAUGGAUAGGGGUUCUGAGAGGAAGGUCCCCCACAUUGGAACUGAGACACGGUCCAAACUCCUACGGCAGGCAGCAGUGAGGAAUAAUGGUCAAUGGGCGAGAGCCUGAACCAGCCAAGUAGCAUGAAGGAUGACUGCCCUAUGGGUUGUAAACUUCUUUUAUAAAGGAAUAAAGUCGGGUAUGGAUACCCGUUUGCAUGUACUUUAUGAAUAAGGAUCGGCUAACUCCGU
rnacentral:rRNA from 1 species